AAAAUACAUAAAAGUAUUACUACAUUAUCCAUUUUUUACAUAACAUCAUACAAAGUUUUAAACAAAAUAAAGCUAACAUCUCCUUUAUAUGUUUCGCCUUCCCAUAUCAUCCCCGUCCAUAAUCUCUGUAAUCAUGUGUACAAAAGCAUCAACAUAUAUCACAGUCUUCAAUCUUGUUUCCUCAAUAGUUUUUAUCUUAAAAUCAAUGCUGCAUCAAACGCCAAAAAUUUAACAAAUUCAGAGAGACAUCUAGAAGAAAAUAAAGAGAUAACUCAUACAUAUAUCAGUCUCUAAUUUUUUUUACAUGGUAAAGAGAUUCAAACUCAAUAGUGGUGAUGAAGCUCAUGGUAAUAAUAUUAAACAAAGAGGAUGCUAAACUAAUCCAUGUAUAUAAACCAAAUAACGAUAAACACACCACACCAUAGUAAACACACCACACCAUAGAAAACACAACAGUUUUAAAAUCAUCAGAAUAAAGAAAAGAAAAAAGCAAGGUAUUUAUAUUCUUAUAUUCUUAAGAAAAAAGCAUUCGUCCUCAACAUGUCCCACCUCUUUCUUAACAGCUCCUAAAGAUGAAGAAGAAUUGAUUUCCACUACCUGUUCUUGUAUAUUCUGCUCAGCUAUCUGUAAUAACAUUAAAACAAAGGUAUUUGGAGCAGCAGAGUAUUAACAUUAUUUCCACUUGUCUUAUAAACUGAUCUCUUCAUAUCACAAAGAGAAUACAUAACUACAAAAGACAACCUAUGUUUUUAUCAAAAUGUAAAACUAAUUAAGAUGUUAGAAAUAUCAAAAGCACCUGAAUUAUCCUUCCUUGUUCUUUAUUUUGCUAACCAUCAAGUCAUCCACAAAAAAUCCAUAAUAUCAAACGGAGAAAUUAACCAAACCAAGCACUAAAAUUCAAAUGUACAUGUCAUGCGAGGAAGAUACAAUGUUAAAUUAAGAAACUUAAUUAGUGUUAGAAGUACCUCGUGAACAAAUUUUGAUCUAAUCUUUUGCCUUAUAUUCAUCCUGUCAAACAAACAAAUACAGAAACAUUAAUUAAUGCUUAAGAAACAAAUCUGUUUUAUCACCAAUCUAAACAUUGGUUUCUACAAAUAAGUGAUUUGGACUAGAAAAAUGAAACCAAAUCUGAACUUAAUUGACAGAUGAUGCACUUUCUAUAUUCAAGUGGUGUAUCUAAACGAAAUGGUUUGACUUUCUGGAGACAGCUUUUGAUUUGUUUAUAACCCACAAAACAAACACAACACUCAAGAACAUAGAGACAUCAUCAUCAGCUUAUGGCACGUUCAAUAUUUGUCUAAGCCGUAUAAGCAUUGCAAGAAUAUAGAAUAUUGAGAGAAGUAUACUAGCCUGGCUCCACCAAGUGAACCAUCCAUGAAGCAUAGUGAUUUGAAUUAAUUUUCAGAUUCUUGGUCACACAAUAAGAAAAUAUUAGUUAAAAUCUGUGGGCUUUAAAUAGCUAAUGAACUAAGAAUUACAGUAAAAAAAUAUUGCUCACCUCAAAGUGUCAUUUCAUAGGAUUAGAGACUCCAAGGAUAUAGUCCACCAUUUUAGACUACAAAAGCAAAGGUCAAAUUUUUACACUCAAUUAGCAAACAUGAAAGAUCAUCAUAGGAAGACAUGUUGAGAGAGUCGUUUCUUAGUUUGUCUCACAGUCAAUUCGUCGAACACCUUGUAUGCACAGAGAACUCUAAAAACGUAACCCCUUAGAAAUACAGUGAAUAAAAUCAAUUUCAAAACAACAAAUCAAAGCACGCAUAAAUUUACAAGCAUGAGAGACGAGAAAGUGGAAGCAUACCAGGCUAUUGGUGGAUUUCAUCUCCUUGACAACUUCCUGGACAAUGAAGACGGGAGAUCUACGAACAGUGGAGGAGUCAUUGAGUCUGCGGGAAGAUGAAGGAACUUACUCGAAUCAAGGAAAUAGAGGGUCAUGACCCAAUCAUUUAUGUAGUGAUCGCUUCAGUUUAGCCGCCGCUUCAAGUCCUUUCUGCUUCCGUUGCUUCCUCCCAACACGAGCAGGUGGUGAGACUCGUUCGAACUUCUUCUCCUUCUUGUCACCAUCAUCUGGUUUCCGGUCUCCUUACCGAUUCAAUUCAUCUUGUGCGAAUUCAUCUCCUUGACACAUCAAUUCAAUCCAUAAGGCUUAAUUUCAUCAAGAAGUGAAGAAGAGAAGGGAGGGAGGAGAAGAAGAUGUGGAGAGAAGACGAGGAGGAAUAGGCUAGUACCUUUAACGGUGGAAGACGGAGGAGACGAGGCCAUGUCAACGGAGAAGGUAUGUGGCUAGGCGGUGGUGUGGAUCUAGAGAUGAGAGAACUUUUUUAGAAAAGAAGAAGA
rnacentral:lncRNA from 1 species